rnacentral:rRNA from 1 species
CUUGAGUUCAAUAAGAGGUCCAGCCUGCCCAGUGAAAUUAUUCAACGGCCGCGGUAUCCUAACCGUGCGAAGGUAGCGUAAUCACUUGUUCUUUAAAUGAGGACUAGUAUGAAUGGCAUCACGAGGGUUUUACUGUCUCCUUUUUUAAAUCAGUGAAACUAAUCUCCCCGUGAAGAAGCGGGGAUUUUGUUAUAAGACGAGAAGACCCUAUGGAGCUUAAAACAAACAACAUUUGCUGCACAUAACACUUUUAUCUUCAAGAAGUAUAGCAUUAUGAUAUUUAGUUUUUGAUUGGGGUGAUCACGGAGCAAAAUAAAACCUCCACGCCGAAAGGGUUUAUACCCUGAGCAAAAAGCUACAGCUUUAAGCACUAAAAAAUUAACGUAUUUGACCCAAUAUUUUGAUCAACGAAC